rnacentral:rRNA from 1 species
UACGAAGGUCCCGAGCGUUGUCCGGAAUCACUGGGCGUAAAGGGCGCGUAGGUGGUGGCUUAAGCGUGCGGUGAAAGCUCGGGGCUCAACCCCGAGUCGGCCGUGCGAACUGGGCUCACUGGAGCAUAGUAGAGGCAGGUGGAAUUCCGGGUGUAGCGGUGGAAUGCGUAGAGAUCCGGAAGAACACCGGUGGCGAAGGCGGCCUGCUGGGCUAUGGCUGACACUGAGGCGCGACAGCGUGGGGAGCAAACAGG